CUUCAACAUCUCCACCUGCUCGCUGAGUCGUCAUGGACCGACGUCUGCUGCUGGUCCUGCUGUCCCUGCAGGUUCUCCUGCUCAUCACCAGCUCCAGCCCCGCGGAGGCCGUCGCUCUGGGGAACAGGAGGGGCACCAAACCGACCGAGCCUCCAUGGUACCUGAACCUCUCUGGAAGGUACAGCCCCUUGUCCGCGCGCAAUCGACAUGUCCGGUCCUGAGCCGUCUCCACCUUUGUCAAAGGCGACGUUGCUUCUUCCAAACAAAUGUGCUCUCAUUGAAAUCAAUAAACAUCUCUGCACGCC